rnacentral:lncRNA from 1 species
GGGAAUAGGUGAAAUGGGGUUCGUAGAUCAUCAGGUCGGGGCGCUCGAUGUCCAGGAUCGCUUUGUCCUUCGGGAUGGCCGCCAGGUCCUUAUAGCCCAGCACCUCGUUGUCCAUCUUGGCCACGAUGCUGGAGGGCGAUCCGGGGACGCUGGAGCCGCGCGAGGAGCAGACGCUCCCAGGGGAGGUCAGCGGUUGCUUCUGCACCCUUUCCAUUCAGCUGUGCGCCGGGGGGGCUGCGUCAGUCACAGGGUCCGCUGUGUCUGUGGGUCCGCAUCCCUCUGGGCGCUGCGCGGGCGCUGGGCUGCGGGUGCUGCUGCUUCAGUGCAGAGCGGGACCCCCCGCACGCCGCUCCGCCCGUCCGCCGGGUGCCAUCCCCGCGCCCCGCAUCCCUCCCCUGCGCAGCACCGCGUUGCUACAGCGACCGCCUCCCGCCGCAACCGGCUGCAGCCGAGCGCUGAGGGUGUGCGGGAGCCGCCUGCGGCCUCGCGGGAGGAGGAGGAGGAGGAGGUGGAGGAAGAGGAGGAGGAGGAUGCGACGCCUGCAGCCCGGCUGUGCUGCGGCCGCCCCCCGCCCCAAGCGCUGCUCUGGUGGGGUGGGGUCGCAGGGGGCAGCCCCGGGGGCGGGGUACCCCGCGGGGACCCCCGGGUGUUGGGUACCCGCUGGUUCCAGGGACCCCGGAGUGAUGGGGACCCCUCUGGGUACCCUUUGGUGUUGGGGAGCCCUAUGGGGUCUCAGUAUCCCCGGGUGUUGGAUACCCGCUGGAUCCAGGGACCCCUGAGCGAUGGGCAUCCCUGGGGGAUGGGGACCCCUUUGGGGACCCCUUGGUGUUGGGGAGCCCUAUGGGGUCUCAGUAUCCCUCAGUGCCAGGGACUCCGUGGCACUGGGAAACCCCGGGACCCCUUUGGGGACGGGGGACCCUUUGGCACCGCGCAUCCCUCUAUGAUGCAAAACCUCCCCGUGGCACUGGGAGACCCCCUAUGGGAGGUACCCCCCCCGGGCACCGGGACCCCUUGGCAAUGGGUACCCACAGUUCCAGGCAGCCCGUGCCACACUGUGCCCCCCCUGGGGGCCGGGUGCCCCCUCCGGGCACCCCUCGAUGCGGGGUACCCCCCACUAAUGGGUACACCUGCGCUCCUGGGCACCCCCAGUUCCAGACACCCCUGAUUUUGGGUACCCCCCCACACGAGGAUGCUGAUGUGGGCCGAGCACUGCACCCCGGAUGCACUCCCCCUCCUCCCCCCCCAUAGGGGUGGCUCUGGGAUGCCCUCCAGAGCACUUUCUCUCCCCAAACCCCCACCCCAAACCCCCAUCUCUCACCUCAAUGCAUAAGAAAGGAGCAGGGAGGGUUUGCCAUCCCCGGCCAUAAUUAAGGACUCACCCUUCCGAGCCCCUUCA